rnacentral:rRNA from 1 species
GGUUAAGCGACUAAGCGUACACGGUGGAUGCCCUGGCAGUCAGAGGCGAUGAAGGACGUGCUAAUCUGCGAUAAGCGUCGGUAAGGUGAUAUGAACCGUUAUAACCGGCGAUUUCCGAAUGGGGAAACCCAGUGUGUUUCGACACACUAUCAUUAACUGAAUCCAUAGGUUAAUGAGGCGAACCGGGGGAACUGAAACAUCUAAGUACCCCGAGGAAAAGAAAUCAACCGAGAUUCCCCCAGUAGCGGCGAGCGAACGGGGAGCAGCCCAGAGCCUGAAUCAGUGUGUGUGUUAGUGGAAGCGUCUGGAAAGGCGCGCGAUACAGGGUGACAGCCCCGUACACAAAAAUGCACAUGCUGUGAGCUCGAUGAGUAGGGCGGGACACGUGGUAUCCUGUCUGAAUAUGGGGGGACCAUCCUCCAAGGCUAAAUACUCCUGACUGACCGAUAGUGAACCAGUACCGUGAGGGAAAGGCGAAAAGAACCCCGGCGAGGGGAGUGAAAAAGAACCUGAAACCGUGUACGUACAAGCAGUGGGAGCACGCUUAGGCGUGUGACUGCGUACCUUUUGUAUAAUGGGUCAGCGACUUAUAUUCUGUAGCAAGGUUAACCGAAUAGGGGAGCCGAAGGGAAACCGAGUCUUAACUGGGCGUUAAGUUGCAGGGUAUAGACCCGAAACCCGGUGAUCUAGCCAUGGGCAGGUUGAAGGUUGGGUAACACUAACUGGAGGACCGAACCGACUAAUGUUGAAAAAUUAGCGGAUGACUUGUGGCUGGGGGUGAAAGGCCAAUCAAACCGGGAGAUAGCUGGUUCUCCCCGAAAGCUAUUUAGGUAGCGCCUCGUGAAUUCAUCUCCGGGGGUAGAGCACUGUUUCGGCAAGGGGGUCAUCCCGACUUACCAACCCGAUGCAAACUGCGAAUACCGGAGAAUGUUAUCACGGGAGACACACGGCGGGUGCUAACGUCCGUCGUGAAGAGGGAAACAACCCAGACCGCCAGCUAAGGUCCCAAAGUCAUGGUUAAGUGGGAAACGAUGUGGGAAGGCCCAGACAGCCAGGAUGUUGGCUUAGAAGCAGCCAUCAUUUAAAGAAAGCGUAAUAGCUCACUGGUCGAGUCGGCCUGCGCGGAAGAUGUAACGGGGCUAAACCAUGCACCGAAGCUGCGGCAGCGACACUAUGUGUUGUUGGGUAGGGGAGCGUUCUGUAAGCCUGUGAAGGUGUGCUGUGAGGCAUGCUGGAGGUAUCAGAAGUGCGAAUGCUGACAUAAGUAACGAUAAAGCGGGUGAAAAGCCCGCUCGCCGGAAGACCAAGGGUUCCUGUCCAACGUUAAUCGGGGCAGGGUGAGUCGACCCCUAAGGCGAGGCCGAAAGGCGUAGUCGAUGGGAAACAGGUUAAUAUUCCUGUACUUGGUGUUACUGCGAAGGGGGGACGGAGAAGGCUAUGUUGGCCGGGCGACGGUUGUCCCGGUUUAAGCGUGUAGGCUGGUUUUCCAGGCAAAUCCGGAAAAUCAAGGCUGAGGCGUGAUGACGAGGCACUACGGUGCUGAAGCAACAAAUGCCCUGCUUCCAGGAAAAGCCUCUAAGCAUCAGGUAACAUCAAAUCGUACCCCAAACCGACACAGGUGGUCAGGUAGAGAAUACCAAGGCGCUUGAGAGAACUCGGGUGAAGGAACUAGGCAAAAUGGUGCCGUAACUUCGGGAGAAGGCACGCUGAUAUGUAGGUGAAGUCCCUCGCGGAUGGAGCUGAAAUCAGUCGAAGAUACCAGCUGGCUGCAACUGUUUAUUAAAAACACAGCACUGUGCAAACACGAAAGUGGACGUAUACGGUGUGACGCCUGCCCGGUGCCGGAAGGUUAAUUGAUGGGGUUAGCCGCAAGGCGAAGCUCUUGAUCGAAGCCCCGGUAAACGGCGGCCGUAACUAUAACGGUCCUAAGGUAGCGAAAUUCCUUGUCGGGUAAGUUCCGACCUGCACGAAUGGCGUAAUGAUGGCCAGGCUGUCUCCACCCGAGACUCAGUGAAAUUGAACUCGCUGUGAAGAUGCAGUGUACCCGCGGCAAGACGGAAAGACCCCGUGAACCUUUACUAUAGCUUGACACUGAACAUUGAGCCUUGAUGUGUAGGAUAGGUGGGAGGCUUAGAAGUGUGGACGCCAGUCUGCAUGGAGCCGACCUUGAAAUACCACCCUUUAAUGUUUGAUGUUCUAACGUUGACCCGUAAUCCGGGUUGCGGACAGUGUCUGGUGGGUAGUUUGACUGGGGCGGUCUCCUCCUAAAGAGUAACGGAGGAGCACGAAGGUUGGCUAAUCCUGGUCGGACAUCAGGAGGUUAGUGCAAUGGCAUAAGCCAGCUUGACUGCGAGCGUGACGGCGCGAGCAGGUGCGAAAGCAGGUCAUAGUGAUCCGGUGGUUCUGAAUGGAAGGGCCAUCGCUCAACGGAUAAAAGGUACUCCGGGGAUAACAGGCUGAUACCGCCCAAGAGUUCAUAUCGACGGCGGUGUUUGGCACCUCGAUGUCGGCUCAUCACAUCCUGGGGCUGAAGUAGGUCCCAAGGGUAUGGCUGUUCGCCAUUUAAAGUGGUACGCGAGCUGGGUUUAGAACGUCGUGAGACAGUUCGGUCCCUAUCUGCCGUGGGCGCUGGAGAACUGAGGGGGGCUGCUCCUAGUACGAGAGGACCGGAGUGGACGCAUCACUGGUGUUCGGGUUGUCAUGCCAAUGGCACUGCCCGGUAGCUAAAUGCGGAAGAGAUAAGUGCUGAAAGCAUCUAAGCACGAAACUUGCCCCGAGAUGAGUUCUCCCUGAC